AGUCGCACGGGACCUGGGGGCAACUUCAGGUUCAGUGGCGGACGGGUGCGUAACACGUGAGGAACAUGUCCAACGGCGGGGAAUAGCCGGCCUAACGGCCGGGUAAUACCGCGUACGCCCCGGGCGACGCAUGUCGCGCGGGGGAAAGCAGCAAUGCGCCGAUGGAGUGCCUCGCGGCCUAUCAGCUAGUUGGUGAGGUUACGGCUCACCAAGGCGACGACGGGUAGCUGGUCUGAGAGGAUGAUCAGCCACAUUGGGACUGAGACACGGCCCAGACUCCUACGGGAGGCAGCAGUGGGGAAUCUUGCGCAAUGGGCGAAAGCCUGACGCAGCGACGCCGCGUGUGGGAUGACGGUCUUCGGAUUGUAAACCACUGUCGGGAGGGACGAAGCUCUGACGGUACCUCCAGAGGAAGCACCGGCUAACUCUGUGCCAGCAGCCGCGGUAAUACAGAGGGUGCGAGCGUUGUCCGGAAUUACUGGGCGUAAAGGGCGCGUAGGCGGCUUGGUAAGUAGGGGGUGAAAUCUUGCGGCUCAACUGCAAGGCUGCCUCCUAGACUGCCGGGCUUGAGCACGGUAGAGGCAGAUGGAAUUCCCGGUGUAGCGGUGGAAUGCGUAGAGAUCGGGAAGAACAUCGGUGGCGAAGGCGAUCUGCUGGGCCGGUGCUGACGCUGA
rnacentral:rRNA from 1 species